rnacentral:rRNA from 1 species
GGGUUGUGAGGUUAAGCGACUAAGCGUACACGGUGGAUGCCCUGGCAGUCAGAGGCGAUGAAGGACGUGCUAAUCUGCGAUAAGCGUCGGUAAGGUGAUAUGAACCGUUAUAACCGGCGAUUUCCGAAUGGGGAAACCCAGUGUGUUUCGACACACUAUCAUUAACUGAAUCCAUAGGUUAAUGAGGCGAACCGGGGGAACUGAAACAUCUAAGUACCCCGAGGAAAAGAAAUCAACCGAGAUUCCCCCAGUAGCGGCGAGCGAACGGGGAGCAGCCCAGAGCCUGAAUCAGUGUGUGUGUUAGUGGAAGCGUCUGGAAAGGCGCGCGAUACAGGGUGACAGCCCCGUACACAAAAAUACACAUACUGUGAGCUCGAUGAGUAGGGCGGGACACGUGGUAUCCUGUCUGAAUAUGGGGGGACCAUCCUCCAAGGCUAAAUACUCCUGACUGACCGAUAGUGAACUAGUACCGUGAGGGAAAGGCGAAAAGAACCCCGGCGAGGGGAGUGAAAAAGAACCUGAAACCGUGUACGUACAAGCAGUGGGAGCACGCUUAGGCGUGUGACUGCGUACCUUUUGUAUAAUGGGUCAGCGACUUAUAUUCUGUAGCAAGGUUAACCGAAUAGGGGAGCCGAAGGGAAACCGAGUCUUAACUGGGCGUUAAGUUGCAGGGUAUAGACCCGAAACCCGGUGAUCUAGCCAUGGGCAGGUUGAAGGUUGGGUAACACUAACUGGAGGACCGAACCGACUAAUGUUGAAAAAUUAGCGGAUGACUUGUGGCUGGGGGUGAAAGGCCAAUCAAACCGGGAGAUAGCUGGUUCUCCCCGAAAGCUAUUUAGGUAGCGCCUCGUGAAUUCAUCUCCGGGGGUAGAGCACUGUUUCGGCAAGGGGGUCAUCCCGACUUACCAACCCGAUGCAAACUGCGAAUACCGGAGAAUGUUAUCACGGGAGACACACGGCGGGUGCUAACGUCCGUCGUGAAGAGGGAAACAACCCAGACCGCCAGCUAAGGUCCCAAAGUCAUGGUUAAGUGGGAAACGAUGUGGGAAGGCCCAGACAGCCAGGAUGUUGGCUUAGAAGCAGCCAUCAUUUAAAGAAAGCGUAAUAGCUCACUGGUCGAGUCGGCCUGCGCGGAAGAUGUAACGGGGCUAAACCAUGCACCGAAGCUGCGGCAGCGACGCUUAUGCGUUGUUGGGUAGGGGAGCGUUCUGUAAGCCUGCGAAGGUGUGCUGUGAGGCAUGCUGGAGGUAUCAGAAGUGCGAAUGCUGACAUAAGUAACGAUAAAGCGGGUGAAAAGCCCGCUCGCCGGAAGACCAAGGGUUCCUGUCCAACGUUAAUCGGGGCAGGGUGAGUCGACCCCUAAGGCGAGGCCGAAAGGCGUAGUCGAUGGGAAACAGGUUAAUAUUCCUGUACUUGGUGUUACUGCGAAGGGGGGACGGAGAAGGCUAUGUUGGCCGGGCGACGGUUGUCCCGGUUUAAGCGUGUAGGCUGGUUUUCCAGGCAAAUCCGGAAAAUCAAGGCUGAGGCGUGAUGACGAGGCACUACGGUGCUGAAGCAACAAAUGCCCUGCUUCCAGGAAAAGCCUCUAAGCAUCAGGUAACAUCAAAUCGUACCCCAAACCGACACAGGUGGUCAGGUAGAGAAUACCAAGGCGCUUGAGAGAACUCGGGUGAAGGAACUAGGCAAAAUGGUGCCGUAACUUCGGGAGAAGGCACGCUGAUAUGUAGGUGAAGUCCCUCGCGGAUGGAGCUGAAAUCAGUCGAAGAUACCAGCUGGCUGCAACUGUUUAUUAAAAACACAGCACUGUGCAAACACGAAAGUGGACGUAUACGGUGUGACGCCUGCCCGGUGCCGGAAGGUUAAUUGAUGGGGUCAGCGCAAGCGAAGCUCUUGAUCGAAGCCCCGGUAAACGGCGGCCGUAACUAUAACGGUCCUAAGGUAGCGAAAUUCCUUGUCGGGUAAGUUCCGACCUGCACGAAUGGCGUAAUGAUGGCCAGGCUGUCUCCACCCGAGACUCAGUGAAAUUGAACUCGCUGUGAAGAUGCAGUGUACCCGCGGCAAGACGGAAAGACCCCGUGAACCUUUACUAUAGCUUGACACUGAACAUUGAGCCUUGAUGUGUAGGAUAGGUGGGAGGCUUGGAAGUGUGGACGCCAGUCUGCAUGGAGCCGACCUUGAAAUACCACCCUUUAAUGUUUGAUGUUCUAACGUGGACCCGUGAUCCGGGUUGCGGACAGUGUCUGGUGGGUAGUUUGACUGGGGCGGUCUCCUCCUAAAGAGUAACGGAGGAGCACGAAGGUUGGCUAAUCCUGGUCGGACAUCAGGAGGUUAGUGCAAUGGCAUAAGCCAGCUUGACUGCGAGCGUGACGGCGCGAGCAGGUGCGAAAGCAGGUCAUAGUGAUCCGGUGGUUCUGAAUGGAAGGGCCAUCGCUCAACGGAUAAAAGGUACUCCGGGGAUAACAGGCUGAUACCGCCCAAGAGUUCAUAUCGACGGCGGUGUUUGGCACCUCGAUGUCGGCUCAUCACAUCCUGGGGCUGAAGUAGGUCCCAAGGGUAUGGCUGUUCGCCAUUUAAAGUGGUACGCGAGCUGGGUUUAGAACGUCGUGAGACAGUUCGGUCCCUAUCUGCCGUGGGCGCUGGAGAACUGAGGGGGGCUGCUCCUAGUACGAGAGGACCGGAGUGGACGCAUCACUGGUGUUCGGGUUGUCAUGCCAAUGGCACUGCCCGGUAGCUAAAUGCGGAAGAGAUAAGUGCUGAAAGCAUCUAAGCACGAAACUUGCCCCGAGAUGAGUUCUCCCUGACUCCUUGAGAGUCCUGAAGGAACGUUGAAGACGACGACGUUGAUAGGCCGGGUGUGUAAGCGCAGCGAUGCGUUGAGCUAACCGGUACUAAUGAACCGUGAGGCUUAACCUUACAACGCCGAAGCUGUU